GUCGCCUCCUAAAAGGUAACGGAGGCGCUCAAAGGUUCCCUCAGAAUGGUUGGAAAUCAUUCAUAGAGUGUAAAGGCAUAAGGGAGCUUGACUGCGAGACCUACAAGUCGAGCAGGGUCGAAAGACGGACUUAGUGAUCCGGUGGUUCCGCAUGGAAGGGCCAUCGCUCAACGGAUAAAAGCUACCCCGGGGAUAACAGGCUUAUCUCCCCCAAGAGUUCACAUCGACGGGGAGGUUUGGCACCUCGAUGUCGGCUCAUCGCAUCCUGGGGCUGUAGUCGGUCCCAAGGGUUGGGCUGUUCGCCCAUUAAAGCGGUACGCGAGCUGGGUUCAGAACGUCGUGAGACAGUUCGGUCCCUAUCCGUCGUGGGCGUAGGAAAUUUGAGAGGAGCUGUCCUUAGUACGAGAGGACCGGGAUGGACAUACCUCUGGUGUACCAGUUGUCGUGCCAACGGCAUAGCUGGGUAGCUAUGUGU
rnacentral:rRNA from 1 species